rnacentral:rRNA from 1 species
UACGGAGGGGGCUAGCGUUGUUCGGAAUUACUGGGCGUAAAGCGCACGUAGGCGGCUUUUUAAGUCAGAGGUGAAAUCCUGGAGCUCAACUCCAGAACUGCCUUUGAUACUGGAGAGCUUGAGUCCGGGAGAGGUGAGUGGAACUGCGAGUGUAGAGGUGAAAUUCGUAGAUAUUCGCAAGAACACCAGUGGCGAAGGCGGCUCACUGGCCCGGUACUGACGCUGAGGCACGAAAGCGUGGGGAGCAAACAGG